rnacentral:lncRNA from 1 species
CUUAAUGAUUUUGAUAGAACAUUUAAAGUUGAAAUAUGUUUUGACUUUUGGCCUCCACAAUGAGAAGUACGUGCCUCUUACUCUCAAUGUUCCCAAUUCUCAACUCUCUUCUCUCUGAGUUGCAGGUGAGCAGGUCCAGGUCUGCCCUUUCCAUGUGCUUCAGAUUCCUCCUCCUCCUCCUCCCCUGGACCAACCACCACCCACUCGUACAUUGCAGGGAUUCACAAGUAGUGGUCUGCUUGGAAGGACAGUUCCGGUCUCACACCAGCUCCAAGACCAGGCUUGAGACUGCUAACAGAGACGAGCCCACCAAGAGUGACAACAAAACAAAAGACCUUUAUUGUACCUUUAUUGGUACAUUUUAGGUGUACAAUAUGACAUUCAUCAUUGGAAAUUUGCACCUUUACAUAAUCUCUCUUUGUUCUUAUUUUUCACCCUUGCCCAGUCCUCCCUUCAACCCCUCCAGUCCUCCCUAUUUACAAAGAUUUUGUUCCUAUUUUUUCAUUUUCUCAUAUUAAUCCCGUUCCCUUCUAUCCUUUCCCCUAGCCCUCCCACUUCCUUCCCCUUUGCCCCUUUUUUACCUAUUUCACAUUACCUAUUAUACAUUUAGUCCUUAUGUAAAGUAAGGUUUUUAAGCUUGUGGCUUCACUGGACAAUAACUGCAUUUUUCAUUGGUUAUUUGGUCUGUUUGUUUGUUAACAUAAGGCGCUAAAGGCCUGAGGUUGGCAUAUUUUUAGUCUCAGUUUCCUUUCUGUAAGUUACAAAAAAAACACAUCUUUUUUUUUUUUUGGUACUGGGGAUCGAACUUAGGACCUUGCGCUUGUAAGGCAGAGCAACAGAACCACUGAGCUAAAUCCUGAGCCUCCAUUAAUUUUAAAUGCUGCUUUUACCCUGUUUUACUUUCUUUUCAGGUUAAAUCUGAAACAGCUGUGGUGCAUGCAGAGGAGAAGAUGGAAGUUUCAUUCUCUAAGGUA